UAAUACGAAGGGGGCUAGCGUUGUUCGGAAUUACUGGGCGUAAAGCGUGCGCAGGCGGUUUCUCAAGUCAGGGGUGAAAGCCCGGAGCUCAACUCCGGAAUUGCCUUUGAAACUGUGAAGCUAGAGUGCGGGAGAGGUGAGUGGAAUUCCCAGUGUAGAGGUGAAAUUCGUAGAUAUUGGGAAGAACACCGGUGGCGAAGGCGGCUCACUGGCCCGUUUCUGACGCUCAUGCACGACAGCGUGGGGAUCAAACAGGAUUAGAUACCCUGGUAGUCCACGCCGUAAACUAUGGAUGCUAGCCGUUGGGUAGCUUGCUACUCAGUGGCGCAGCUAACGCCUUAAGCAUCCCGCCUGGGGAGUACGGCCGCAAGGUUGAA
rnacentral:rRNA from 1 species